rnacentral:rRNA from 1 species
AUUGAACGCUGGCGGCAGGCCUAACACAUGCAAGUCGAACGAGUGGCGGACGGGUGAGUAAUGUCUGGGAAACUGCCUGAUGGAGGGGGAUAACUACUGGAAACGGUAGCUAAUACCGCAUACCAUCAGAUGUGCCCAGAUGGGAUGAGGGUGUGGGGGGGGUAACGGCUCAACAGGGCGACGAUCCCUAGCUGGUCUGAGAGGCUGACCAGCCACACUGGAACGGAGACACGGUCCAGACUCCUCCGGGAGGAAGAAGUGGGGAACAUUGCAAAAUGGGGGCAAGCCUGAUGCAGCCAUGCCGCGGGUAGGAAGAAGGCUUUCGGGUUGUAAAGUACUUUCAGCGGGGAGGCGUUACCCGCAGAAGAAGCACCGGCUAACUCCGUGCCAGCAGCCGCGGUAAUAC